GAACAGACAAAAUUUUUGCUCCUAAUCUGAAGACAGUUUAUGUACCUGAAGGUAGCCACUUUGUUCAGGAGCAAUUUCCAGAUCAAGUGAAUGGGCUGAUACUCAAUUUCCUCAAGACCCAUAGUUUGAUCUAGACAUGCAAGUUGGUUGGUAGCAGGCUUAAUUUCUGACGCCCUGUUGUCCAAGGUUCUAAAGUUCAUUGGCUGCUGCCAUGCUAUAUUGAAGUCAUGGACAUUUUGUGUUUUCUUCCUGUCAAUUUCAUCCACAACUUUUCUGCUAAACUAGCUCAUGGCAUUCAGCUUUUGCCAUUGUUGUAGUUUGCACUACAAAUCCUUCAAUAAAUUAUCAUUACCUGCAGGACCGGUUCUUAUUCUCAAUUUCUUUCGAACUUUACACUUUAAGUUAUGCAAAAUUUAGAUUACCAGCAUUUCCAUUUGUUCUUUAGUCUAUCCAUGUUUAUUAACUUUAAUUGAAUUAUAAAUUCACCAAAAGAAGGAUAUGCAACAAUGACAACAGAAGGAUGUGCUUACAAGAGCCUGGUUGUUGCAAAAUGAUGUGGAGUUUGGUUUUCCUUCUAUGUCCCUAGGAAAGGAAUGAUCCAAAAGGAGUACUAAAAUGUUUAUGUUGGAUUGAUUGGAAAACUAAUACACAUAAAUGACAAUCAAAAUGUUUUCUUUUCCUGAAAUCAUUCCUUCCCAUUUAAAUGUCAAGUUGGCAAAUUAUCCUAAAUAUUAUUUUACUUACGUCACAAAUAUGAUUUUUCAUCAAUUUUUUAUAACAUAUAAAUAAACAUUAUAAAAGAAGCUAUAGUAAUUAUUUCAAAUAAUCUCCCAUCCAAACACUAAAUAUUUGUUUGCCUAUUUACGAUAUGCAACUUUUUUUUUUUUUUUUUUUGGCACUACGUCAGUUUUGCCAACCUUCUAGAUAUUUAAAGCAGGAAUAGUUAAGAGGGAAAAAAAAAAUGUUUGCCAUCUUGAAGGGCAGAGAUGUAACCUUAAAAGUUCACGAUGACGUAUUUUGCUGUAUAAUUUCAGAAAUGUCCUCUUAAGGUUUCUAACAGUUUUACUUGGCACCUUCAAACUUUUUAAAAAUCUCACUUGAUUCCCUUAGCUUAAAUUUCUUGUAACAUUUAAAUUCCAUUUCAAAAUAUAAUAUUAAACAAGCUCUCAUUUUGAGAGGGAGAAUAUAAAUUCCAAAUUUGUACUUAAUUAUUAUAACAGACUAAAUUUAUCUCUUAAUUUUUGUUAAUUGAUCAAUAUAGUUCUUUAAUAAAAGUUCAAAAGUUAUAUAAGAUCGAAAAAACUCUUUAAUAGUUUUGAUGUCAUUGGUUUGAACAAGAAAUGUUAAAUUACUUAAAAUUAUAAAUGAUUUACAAUGCUCUUAAAACUAACUUGCCAUAAUUUACAACCAAAAGAAUACCUUUUUGCACUAGCCUAAAAACAAUAUAAAUAAGUUCAUAUAUAAGUAUCUUUUUUCUUUUCAAGCCAUUGAUUUAAAAAAAUUGAAAAAUUCAAAAAUAUGUAAAAAAAUUAUAAAACUUCUUAGAUUAACUCAAGAUAAGAUAUUUUCUAUCUAACUUGCAAAAAAUCAAUAAACUUUCGAAUAUUAAACUUUUUGAUAUUUAAAAAAAUACUAUAUUUUAUCCAAUUAGAAUAAAACCUUCAUACCUUUUAUUCUUAUUUUUCAUUUGUUAUCAAUAUGUUCACAGUUUGGUAAUAAAAAGUAAGACAACAAAAGGACCAAUUUGGAAUGAUACUAAAUUUGCUCUUCCAAAAUGGAUUUUUUAAUAUUAUAUUUUAAAUUGGAUUGUAAAUGAAACUAAAAAAAAAACUAAAAUAAAGGAGACAAGUAAGAUUUUUUAAAGUUUGAGGGUGCCAACUGAACGUGACUGUUAGAAACCUCAAAGGAGGUUUUUGAGAUUAUCCCAAUUUAAUAUUAUCUUUGCAACCAAACUUCAAAGCAGGUGACAAACUGACAAUUCAGCUCAGCUCACCAAAGUUGAAUUAUUCCCACCUAAGCAGCAGACAGGAACUCAAAAACUUUACAAGAAAGCAACCUUAGAAUUGGAAGUACAGUAUCAAACAAGUUUCUUUAGUUCCUCUCUGCAUCGUUUUGGGAUCUUCAGAAAUGGAUCAAAUCCAACACACAGUUCAUACAAGUUGACGAUGGUGUAAAGCUUCACGUAGCUGAGAUUGGAAGUGGGCCAUCAGUUGUUCUGUUCCUUCACGGAUUCCCUGAGAUAUGGUACUCUUGGCGCCACCAGAUGAUUGCUGUGGCCAAGGCUGGUUACAGAGCCAUUGCACCUGAUUACAGAGGAUUUGGAUUAUCCGACCCUCCGCCAGAACCCCAGAAGGCCAAUUUUGCUGACUUUAUCACAGACGUCCUUGCUCUCCUUGAUGCUCUGAGUAUCCCCAAGGUAUAUUCCUUGCUGCAAUCUUGCCUCUUCUAUUUUCGGGUUAAUGCUAAAUUUCUAUUUUGGGCUUCUGGUAAUUGCUUGCCGUGAGUUGUAGCUAUAAAAUUCUCAAGUUUUCAGGCAUGACCCCCUAAAAACACAAGACUCUGUCUGUUGACUGUUGAUCAGCUUGGGACGUUAAUCCCGUGACCAUCCAAGAUAGUUGUAGUGUUGCCGUCAUGAUUCAUUAGGGUCAUCACCUUGCAAGUUGCAACAAGUUUUAGCAUCAGGUCAAACAACAGUUUCUAUGUUCUUGGCUUCAUUAUGUAUAGCUGAAUGAUUUCCACCAACUAUUAGUCCUGCCUCUCUUGGCUUGUCUGACAUCCUGGGCAGAAUGAGUUCAUGCAUAGUAUCAAAUUCGUGAUGAGCACAGCAGCAACAUCUUCCAUCCAUAUUAUAGACACCUUGAGGAUCUCAUGAGCGGGGCAUAAUAAAGUAUGGGGAGGCACCAUUCAGAUUAAAGUACUUAUUAUGGAAUUUUAAGAUUUUUAUCUUGAUUGUAAUAUCUGUAAUGGCAUUUAGUGAUUAGUAAUUUGAUGUAGCGCAAAUCAUGGGAUCUGAUAUAGCUAAAAUCAUGGGGCUUGGUGUAGCUCAAAUUCUGGACUUCCUAUCUUUUUCAAUUUACAUCUUCACCGAAUGAAUAUUAGAGUUCUUGAUUGACAUAUUCUCAGGACGAGUGAUGAAUGCUGCUGUUGCUUUUUUUUGUUUUUUUACUGACUUUGCCUCAUAACUUUGCUUCCAGAGUAUUAGAUUCCUUCUCUUUGUUGGAUGGUUUGUGCCAUAUGGAAAGAAUAUUCCAGAACUUGUCCAUCAUCAGGCGUCAAAUGUUAAAUGAUAUCUCACAAAGAUGCCAUCUAAAUCCUGCUAAACUAUUUUUCCUGUACAGUACUAAAUCUUGACAUUCUUAGGUUACGUUAAAAAGUAAGUGCAAUUUCCUCAAUUCCGUGUAAGGAUUAUGUCCUGCUUGGCACAUAGCUGCACCAAGUAAAUAAAUUGAACAUUAUUCAUUUUCUUGUGUUACUGAUUUGUUAUCCACAUCAGAACAUACAGCUUUUGGGUGUCUGACUGCAAAGCUCUUUUUUUUGCAGGUUUUUCUCGUUGGAAAAGAUUUUGGAGCCAGUGUAGUUUAUUACUUUGCUAUUUUGCACAAAGAGAGGGUCACAGCUAUAGCAACAUUAGGCGUGCCAUUCAGGCCACCAGGGCCUCCUCCACAUCAUAAGCUUCUCCCGGAAGGAUUUUACGUAACAAGAUGGAGAGUAUGCACUUUGCUUGUCCGGUUAUUCAGGACGAUAAUUAUAGCUGCUUCUAGUAUUAAUUCUUCUUUUCUUUGACUUGCAGGAGCCUGGGAGAGCUGAAGCUGAUUUUGGACGCUUUGAUUCAAAAACGGUUGUAAGAAACAUCUACAUUAUGUUUUCCAGGAGUGAAAUGCCAAUAGCUAAUGAAAACCAAGAGAUCAUGGACCUGGUGGAACCAUCCACUCCUCUUCCUUCUUGGAUGACAGAGGAAGAUUUUGCAACCUAUGGAGCCCUGUAUGAGAAAUCUGGUUUUGAAACUGCAUUACAAGUUUACAGGUACAGGUACUGGACUCCUCUUAAUCUACAUUUCAGGCGAGUGGCGUUCUCGAUUUUCUAUCUUUCAUUGCAACACGUAAUUAAUGAGCUCAUUUUAUGCAAUAGAAUUUUACUAUUGCUUCCACAAGUAAAUGCAAGAAAUUUAAGUGCACCUAAAUUACAUAUUUUCUUGAAGACUUUGGUUGAACUGGUGGAGAAGCAAAUUUUCAGCUGAGCAGUAGCUUUUCUGAUUAAACCAUAUUGACAUGAAUGUAUGCUUGAUUUCAGGGCCACUGGAGGAAGUUCGAAUGUGCAAGAUCCAAAAAUUGAAGUUCCAGCGUUAUUCAUCAUGGGUGAGAAGGACUAUGUGAUUAAAUUCCCCGAAACUGAAGACUACAUAAGGAGUGGUAGAAUAAAAGAUUUUGUACCAGAUUUGGAGAUAAAGUAUAUUCCAGAAGGAGGCCAUUUUGUGCAAGAGCAAUUCCCUGAUGAGGUGAAUCAACCUCUGCUUAGCUUCCUCAGCAGGCAGGCAUAGUUAAUCCUGAUCGCAUACAAGCAAGUACCAUAUUAUAAGAUGGCUCUUCGGAUGUACUUGAAGUUGUUCUUAAAUUGAUUUUCAGAGGUAUUAUCAGGCGGAUGAUCAAUCAUGCAUCUGUAGUCCGUAGUUUCAGCUCCGGCAUCCAUGUUUAUGUGUUUUAACGCCAAAUCAAAUGUAUGAUUUUUCUUCGUUUUACUUUAUUCUUCAAGAGCCAUCACUACCUACUAUUUCUCAAGUUUCGGUCUUUUAGCAUAGCGGAUAAGCGGUGAACAUCACGUGACAUAUUCCAACUCGAAAAUACAAAUCGCUGAUGUGCUUCAUGUUAUAAACUAUUGAAUGGAGAUGGAAUGUAGAAUGCUGAAAUUUUCCCAUCACUAACUGAAGUUGAGUGAGAGAAACCCAGCAACAAACACCCUUUCCCUGGCCGGACUGAAAUGAUUGGAAUAGAGCACAAGUACAUAGAAGUCAAUGGGCAACAACUUCAUGUUUUCUUGCAUGGGUUUCCAGAGAUAUGGUGCUUUUGGUGCCAUCAGAUGGUUCCUGCAGCCGCCAUUGCACACCGUCAGUGGCUCUUUAUUCGGACUCUCAAAUACAGUUAGGCAUUAAUUAUGAGGUCCUUAGCUGCUGAAAUGUAUCUGAAUUAUGUGGUCAUUUUGUAUAAAGAAAGCGAAAAAAAAAAAAAAAGAAAAAGAAAAACAGCCCUAGGGGAUGAUGAUAAGACGAUAAGUAAGGUCCGUAUCAAAUGCACAUAAGCGCGUGCCACUAAUAUUAAUUAAUGAUGUAGCGAGCGAUUAAUGCUAACGAUGUGGGGUCCACUAUAAGAAGUUUGUUCCUUCUUCCACGUUCAUAAGAUAUAAUAAAUAUUUCAUGUCUAAAAACCCAAAAAAAAAAAUUCCCUCUUUAUUAAUCAUCCGAUAUCUAUAAAUUGAUGCAACAUCAUGGUCAAAGGCCUUCCUCAUUUUUUUUUAGGUAGGUAGAGAAACCAAUCCUAAUGAACUCCUGUACAUAUUUGGGUCAUUAGUGUUGUGAAAGAAGGUAAAUGCGCGUCGUAAUUAUUGUAGUAUUUUUUUUUUUUUGUAAUUACUAUAAUCAUAUUUUUAGCUUGGACCCAACAUGCUAAAAAGAAGAGAAGAAAAUUCGAAAUCCGUUAGUUAGUAAAUAAACUCAAUGACGACACUUGUUGAGGAGGCGAGGAAAAUCGUUCAAGCUAAAGCAACUUAAUUCUAUUGAUUCUGCCUCAAUCAAGAUGGUUCCAGCCAACGAGAAAAAGAUUUUUUUUAUUAAAAAAAAAAAAAAAAAACUCCUAACUUCAUGACAAAUAUUACGGAAAUCGCUCCUAAUAUGUUUCGUGAAUCCACAAGUCAGGAAAUUCCUAAAUCAUAUUCAUAUUCAUAUCCUCCCACCAGGCGGCCGUUUAGGACCACUAUCUAUCAUUUCGUUAUCUUGUACUUUCUCACUGCUGACUCCAAAGAUUGCCACUUUUCUUCUUCAUCACGGCUGCUUCUACUACUUUCAACAUAUAUAUAUAUAUAUAUAUAUAAUAUAUAUAUAUAUGUAUAUGUGUAUAUAUAUAUAUAACCUAAAGCAAGCAAAAUUUAAACAAGAAGAAUAUAUUACAAUUUGUCACAGCAGAUGAGGAUAAUCAUUUAUAAAAACCAAACACCCCACCCCCCAAACGACAACAUUGGAUGUGGCAGCUUACGUUAGUAGCUAGGGAUCAUAAUAAAGUAAAGAUUUGUGUCAUGUCAUCCACCCCAAAGUACCCCUUUUCCAUUUCGUUCCCCUUCACGAAUUGUAAAUAAACAAACUAUUCUGGAAUUGAAUAACCAUUAAUUGGGCUUUGGAAAAGAUCUGUUUUGACCCAUGAGAAGGACACGUGUACCCACCUACACAAUCCUCUACGCCAGUACGAAAAAUGACACCCGGCACAGCCGGAAUGGCUUGGAUGGUAUUUUUCAAAAGGGCGAAAAAAAUAAAUAAAAAUACAAAACAACAAAGAUCUACCACACACUGCGCGCGUGCAUUAAAACAUUUCAAAAAAAAAAAAUAGUGACGAAGACGGGGUUGGUACUUGGUAGUAGACAAGACGCUGCCUUUCCCGCCCCGCCGGUUCACGACCCUCCCAUGGACCGGGCCUCACCAGAUUCUUUUUCUUCUCUAGCUUUAUAACCCGCCCUGCGCCAGUGUCUUAAUUAAUUCUCUCUAAACUCUCUACCAUCACGGUCUCUCUGCCUCAGCUAAGUAAGAUUUCCCAAGUAUCUUUCGGUAUAAUACACUUCUCCUCCACCAACUCCUAUUCACGACUCUCCCCUGCCCAUAUUCCUCAUGAAUUCCAUGGAACUUCCAUAACACUUGUGCGUUCUAACUAUAUUUGCAGGUCUGCAUACCCAUAGCGACUGGCCAGGGCCUCCUGUAGAGAUACUUCCACGAUUGCUUUGUUCCGGUAAUCUCAUACUGCUACUGCAAGUUCUUCUUUUCUUUAAUAAUAAUAUCCUCACUUUUCUCGUAACAACUAGCUAGCUAAGAAAGUGAGGAUGCGUAAAGUCCAUGUACUUUCCAUCCGGAGUCAUCAGGUUCAGAGAACAAAAGAAAACCUCUAGUUUUUCCUCCUGACUUUCUGCUCAUACGUCGAGUUUUGCUGCAUUUCAUCUGGGAAUCCAUCUCAUUACAAACUGCCAUCGUUCUUGGGCAUUUACAGAUCUGCACGCUGUAUUACUUAGCACACCCGGCUAGUUCGCUAACUCGUCCGAGUCUGAGUUGUCUCGGACGGGACGAGUCAUAGCCGGAAUGGCUUAGGUCAGUACGGAAAAUGACACCCGGCAUGGUAAUUAACAGAUAAUGGUAGUCAUAGCCUUGGCAAAUUUUAAAGUUUAUCAGCAUCUUUUCAGUCUUUCUUUUUGUUCUUACCUAAAGUUACACACUGCACCAUGGGUCGUUAUUCGGACUCACAGAUAUAGUUCUAUGCAUUAUGAAGUCCAUGGAGGAUUGGAAAUGUCUGCAAAAGAGAGCUGAAUAUACCCUAGUUUUGAUGCUUUUGAGUGAGAAUCGGUAUGUUGACAUCAUAGAAUCCCGGUAACUGCUUCAGUUCCUGCAGCUUGAUGGAUGUAAAAAUCAGAAAAACUGCAGUUCCAAAUCUAACAGUAAGAGAGUUUGAUAUGAUAUGGGUGAUGCGGCGGGAGCUGCUUAGCUGGGCUAGUCCCAUUUUGCUGAUAUACCUUGUAGUUUUGGUCUCUUGCAUCUGUAGCAGAAAGAGGAAGAAACUUUCAAGGGCAAAAAUCUUAAAAUAGACAACAAAAGGUCGCAUUUUCAGUACAUAUAGUAGUUUCUUUUAUGUGAUUUUCCAUUCUUUUGCGGGAAAUUUCUCAGGAGCAUUAAUUUUCCUCAGUUCUAUCUAAAGUAUCAUCAACCCUUCAUGGUGCAAAAAUUUGUCUUUCCUGAUUGUUUUGGCUAACUCCACGUUGUAAAGGUUCAGUUUUUGAAAUAAGUUAGUAGUAUAAUCAUUGGUAGUUAUGUACAUGCAAGAUUAGGUGCAGCUUCAUGCAAAAGCCGGCACUCAUAUGAAUUGGCCACUGGUUUGUGUUAUGUAUAUGUCGGUGAAAAUGAAUGGGAAGGGGGUGCAUUGGUAGCUCUAUCAAUGAAUCUUAAACCUUGGAUUUUCUGUAGGAUGGCUGAUCGAAGAAGGCCAAAGAAAGGUCCUCGAAGUUGUGUUGUUCUUCAAUAUCGAAAAGCAAAACCCUACGAACGUGGAACAAAAUUCAAGGUAGAAAAGAUAGAUAUUAGCAUGUUUAGCAAUUAUGUAGAGCUGCAGCUGUAUCUGCUCCAAAGAUGCGGCGGGGGCUAUCGUACUUAUCCAGGGGGUGCAGACUAUCCGGUGAUAACCUACACCAAGUAUAAGGAAGAUGAUAAUGAGCGUGACCUGAAUAGCGAGACAUGGGAUAUCUUUGCUGCAUCUGUCUCUUAUAUUCUCAUAGAUAGGAAAGAGGCUUAAGAGUAACUUUGGUGUCAUUUGGUGAAAGAGAUGGACUACUUUUCCCUUUCUCUUUGCGAAUAAUUAAUUUAAAGCCCUUAAUUAUAAGGACAAGUAUUCCAGCUGUUAAUUAGCUACGAAAAUGUGGUACAGGCUAUAUAUAUAUAUAUAUAUAUAUAUAUAUAUAUAUAUAUAUUUUGUUUGAAAAUGAAAUCAUGAUCAUAAGCCGGUGCUCCACGUUGGAGAGAUAAAGAAAGGCACAGUUGACAGCUUCAAAUGAUAAGACUGGGAAUUUUGUGCGUGUGCGUGUGCGAGUGCGAGUGCGAGUACCGGAGGGCGGUUCCAAACAAAAGAACCAAUGGACUUUGACUCGUUUGGUGGCAAUAUAGAUUACAAUUUCUACGCGCCCAAGAUUACAAGUCCACUAGCGUGAAUAUCCGUGCGUGCUGACAUUAUUAAAAAAAAUAAAAAAAUAAAGGUGAAAAAAUUGAAUCAACAAAAUUAAAAUGUAAUAUCUGUUUAACAAUAAUUUGAAAUAUAAUAGAAUAUGUUCAAGAACUGAAUACAAUUUCUACGCGACCAAGAUUACAAGUCCAUACUGAAUAAGACAUGUUAUACUCAUUGAUAAUAAAAUAUAUUAGGCAAGAAUACUUUAGUAAAAUUAUAUAUUAACUAUAUUUUUAAUUAAAAAAUAAACUAUAAUUUAGAACAGACAAAAAAUAAGAAUAACACAGCCAAAAAUGCGACGCAGGGAGUAUUCAGUUUAUUUGUUACUGUCAAACAUUAGUUAUUUGGCGUCUGAAAUGAACUCGCGGGUACCUGGCUUGGCAUACAGCCAAGACCGGAGGCAAAAUACAUUUCAUUGACCCGAAUUUUCAACAAAGAACAAUCAUGUAUACCGUUGUUAUUCUUCCCGACAGUCCAACACCCCGUAGUAGCAGUAUAAGAACAAAACAGCCAAAUUCGUCAAUGGUUGGAUGACGCUUGUCGCCACCACGCGCGCAGACGGCUGAACCAUAUGGACCCACCCCAAAACAGUUACUAUAAACAAUUUUAAAUAGUACUAUUUAAUUGAGGAUCCAAUCCAAAAGUUGGAGAUGCUUCUUUUCGUGAAGUACGCGUUCACUUGAAGGUACAUAACAUAUUUAGCUUUUCUUUUUAAAAAAAUUAGAAGACGAACCACUGGAUCAAAUAAAUGCACUGCUACGCUCUCUAAAUUUUUUAAAAACAAGAUGCACUGUACUUCUUGUAUGAUGCAAUUUGAACCUUCACUCUACCGCACGGAAGAGCUUAAGGGUCUCUUUCUAACUAUUUGACCAAAGCCCAAUGGCUGGAAACAUAUUUAGUCGAUGGAUCACAACUGCCAUCUUUUUGCUGAAAAAGCAAACUCGUAGUUAAGGCUGCAAACGAGUCGAGUUGAGUUUUGGAUUAAUCGAGUAGAGUCUCGACUAAAUUUUAUCAAACUCAAACUCAAGUUUGAGCUUGACGAGCCGGCAAUUUAAAGCUCGAGCUCAAGCUCGAAAAAAAUUAAAAAAAUUAUUUUAUUUUUAAAAAAUAAAUAAAAUAAUAUUUUUUUCUUAAUAAAUAAUAAAAUAUUAAGGAUAUAUAUGUAAUUUUACUAUUAAAAUAAGAAAAUAAAAAAUAUAUAUAUACUUAAAAUAAAAAAAUAAAAAAAUAUUAUAUAUAUAUACUCGAGUUUAAUAUUUUGAGUUUAAUAUAUAUAAAAAAAUGAGUUUAAUAUUUUGAGCUCAAGCUCGAACUGCUCGCGAGCGGCUCGAUUCGUUUGUAGCCCUACUGGCAGUUCAACCAGUUAGCAAUAUGCCAAAUUCUAGAUUGGUCCUUGUACUACCUUUUGUUAGAACACAGAUUUGGUCCUUGUACUGAAAUAUAAUGCUGGAUCAGGAGGGAUGACUUCAAGUUGCGUUGCAAUGUUGCUUUGCUUUCCUUUAAAAUUUUAAUUUGCCCGUAUAAAUUUAGUUGGCCUACAAAAAGAGUCUCAUAAACAAAGUCGAUUUCAUCAACGCUCAUGACAAUCUACAAAAGAAUCCUUCGGCCUACAAUAAUCCGUUAAUACCAGUGAACAUCAAUAUUGACAAAAGCGUUGGCAAGCAACCCGGAAAAGGAGAAACAGAAAAAACUCUUGUGCGAGUGCCAGUGCGUGCAUGCAUGCGCGCGCGUGUGAGAGAGAGAGAGAGAGAGAGAGAGAGAGAGAAUUCAGGGGACAGAGAGAAAAGCCAUUACAAAGAAUGAGACUGCAGAUAGCCCGCCAACAGGAGAAAGCUGUGUGUCUAUCCAUUUUGUAUACACCACAAAUGGUGGAGGGACCAUAGAAAAAAAAAAUGAAGACAAAAAUUGUACCAAAAAUAGAAUGGGGAAAACAAAUGGUACAAGCUUAAGUAGUCAGCUCAGCCUACAUCUAUGCCUAUGACUAGUAAGUAAAGAGCCCAUCAAUCUGAUCUCCCAAGUACAUGUAUACAAUCGCUAGAGCUGAGGGAAGACUAAAACUAUACAGAUGUGAACCUUCCGGAAUCUCAAGGGAUCCUACAAGAUUCAAUUACUUCCAGCACUGUUGAAUGAGUUUCUGGCGAGAUCAUGUCCAGUGACAAAUGAAAUUCCUGGAGGAACAAAAACAAUUAUGUUGAUAACCUAUACAAUUUGGCCAGUCAAAUUUAAGGCAAAUCAAUUCCUUGAAUUUCACUAAAAAUGGCGUACCACAAAUCUCUCCAACACAGGGACAAGUACUGCAAGGUUGUGAUCAGGAAGACAUUCAGCAAUCGUACUGCGUAUCCUCCUACUGAGAGUCAAAAGAGGCGUGUUGUGAGAAAGCGUGAAGAAAAGCUAUCCUGCAAGUAACAUUUCCAGAAAGGAUACCAACCUUUCAGUGGAAAGAAAUGCAAGAAGAAGAGCUGCAUAAGCUUCUAGAAUCAUUUUCUCAGCUUCUUUUUCUUCCUGCAAUAGAGCAUCUUCAUCAUCCUGCAGAUCAAUAAAAAAUCUUUGCUUAGAUUUUGUAUAAAUAAAAUUCAUUAUGCACCGGCUUUCAGAUCAUGAAAUAUGUAGCCGCUAUCGACACAAGGAAGCAACUAUAAUAGCAGAUGAAAACUCCAAUACCACAUCUGGCUCCUCUAGGAUUCAACUAAUGUUUGACCGUAAUUUCAUUGAGGAUCAACUUUGUACCUAUAUUGCCAAAACACUUCCUUGAAAAGUUAUCAUUAAAGAAAAGCAACACCGUAGUAUUAUAAUUUCUCCAAGAAAACCAGCAAUUAUACCACCAAAAUUCAUUCACCAACUCUUCUUCAUAUUGAGACAUAUCAGUAAUGCCGGAAGCAGGAAAGCAUACGGACAGCAAGAGGCUGGUCAUGCAUGAUGCAGACUGAAACUCCAAAAAGUUCUUUCAGUAAGAUUUUGGUGUCACUCUCCUUCACUAUCAAACUUAUUAUUUCUCUCAUUGCCACAUUGUCUUCUGCAUCUAACCAGUCAAAGCUGUUUUCCCCGCAGAGAAAUCGACUUGAUCAACAAUCAAGACUAAAACAUUAAGCUCAGUUAUAGAAGGGGCUUGUACAAAGGAGUGACACCAACCAAAUUAAAUCCAGCAGAUAUCCUACAUAUUUAGUUCCAACAUCCCGUUUCUUUUCUCUGAUUGACGUCUCUUGGGCCCAUAAACAUUGUGAUGUGUUGAUGAUGCAUAUUCUAGUCAUAAAAACAUUUUAACUUUCUACAUGAAUCUAAUAGUCAAAAGCUGAUAUUUAUCAGGAGUACAUAUCAUGAAACAAGAUUACACAAAUUUGCUUAUCAAAUCAAGCUCAGCUAUAUAUGCAAGAGCAAAGCUUCAGAUAAGAGAUUAAAAGUUAAAAGAACAACUUUAAUUUCUGUAGUGUAUUCAAAUAUGUUGAGUUCCAGUAAGAGUCAAAAUUUAUUUGGAAUACAAAUCCUGAAACAAGAUUAUAUAAAGCUGCUUAUCACGUUGAACCCAGCAAUAUAUGCAAGAUAAAAGCUUCAAAUAAGUGCUUAAAAGAACUAUGUUGAUUUCUCAAGUACAAUCAAGUAUGCUGACUUCCAAUAAUCCAGUUUCCCUUUCAAUUCCUUUUAUGAUGGAAUAUUGGCCAAGUCAAUUUGCAGGAGGCACUAUAGUUCAAGCUAUCUUAGAAGGCUAAAAACUUGCAGAGACUUGAGCCCACUCAAGAGGAGCUGUUUUCAAAGAACAACUUUUUAGAGAACCCCAAACACGUCGUUCAACCACCUUUUUCUCUUGCAAUAGCAUUUAGCCAAAAAACUGCUACAGCAUUUUUUUAAAAAAAUCUAAAAACACCACCAAAAACAAACAUCCAAACUGAUCUUCUUCUCAAUAAAAUCUAAAGCCCAAAAACUCUCAGAAAUUUAAUUACAACCAUAGCUAUCAAAGCUUACAAAGUUGAUUCUUUCAAUUUAAGGGACACAGAUUGAAGUUGCUUUGCUUCAGCUCCAAACAUCUAAUGCAUAGAGCAACCAUUGAAAGCAAUGGUGAAACUAAUAGUAGAAUGAUACAAGUUUACUCACCCAUGACAGUUGUCUUCCUUCACCUGCAGCCUCACCCGCCCCUUGGUUGGCCAAGAAAAUUGAACACAGCAGUGGAAUUAGGUCUGUAGAACUUUCUUUUUCUAAACCUUCCAAAUUAGUCAGUGAAACUCGAGUUGCAGCAAGGCGUGAUCUACAUUGGAAAAAUGAACAGAAUUAAUCCAUGCGAAGAAUAUCAAUAUCUGUGAGCGAAGAUAUACUCUCAAAUCAUUCGAAGUGAAGAUGGUCAAGUUGGAGACCAGAAGAGGAAUAGCAGGCAAAGAAGUCAAAAUACGCAAUAGAUGUGACAUUACUCAAAGCUAAUAUGCAAUCGAACCAAAAAUCCAAUACCAAGAAAGAAAUCAAGCACGGAGGCAUAUUUCGCUCUGAUGUGGUUUUCUGAUCAACCACAGAGGAAUAGAAAGCAGCUAGUCUAUUUCUUUGUCUUAUUUAUAAUUACAUAAAUUUCCAAUGGUUUAUGUCAGACCAGAAUGGAUAGAGAGAGGGUAAGAUGAGAAGGAAAGUAAUGUUAGAUCAAUAUCUGCUACACUUGCAUCAGAUUAUAUCAGGAGAAGGAAUACAGACAAGAAAUUGUUUUGUCUAUCAUUACCAUAAUAAGCAGCAUUAGAUCAACAACCAUGUUGAUCUAAGUCUUUCCAUAAAACCUCAAGUUAAGAACUCUUUACAUGGAGUACCAAUUUAAUCUUGAAAAAAGCUUCUAGUAUUCUUUGAAAAGUUAAAAGCAAUUACAGAAAGCACUUCUUAUCUGUGAAAGUACAGUUUGAAGAACUUAGCAACAAGAAAGGUGACUAGAACCAAGAAUGAAACCACACACCUAUUAAGGCCAUCCCUCUACCAAGUUCACUAGUAUCCCAGAAUGGCAACUAGCAGAUUCUAGCUCUUUCAUCAGUUAGAUGUCUGUCAUUUUGGUGGUCAACCACUGCACUUGAUCUUGAUGACACACCAUUUUCUUGAACUGCCAGAGCAAGGAAGGUAGUACGAAAGUUGGAAAAUGGCUAGCAAUCAAUGUAGACAUCAAUUUCCAGUCCUCCGCAGGCUGCAAUUUGCGACAGCCCAUAGGUUGUCAUUUGUUAAGUUCAUCAGGACUGCAAAUGAUAACAUAAAUUAGAAUCAAACAAAACCAUUGACAGGGACCAUAUGGAUUGACUGUCAGAAACUUAUAAGCAACAUUAAAUACCCAGAAAAGAGUUCUCUAAAUAAUGGCGGUAUAUAAAUGAAAUCGCAACAUAAUCACAUAAGGACAAACUUUCAAAAACACAAAAAAUGAAAAAAAUGCAAGAAUAGGUGUCUUAUUUCUGAGUGAUGUAAAAUGCUUCUUUGAUUACAGUAAACAUGGGAGCAUACAGUUAUCAAAUCUAAUCAACAACCCCAAAGUUACCAUAAAAGGUUUCAGAUCUUACUUUCUCUAACUGUUUAUGAAAAAGAAACAAUAAAUGAGAAAGUGAACAAACUACCUUACAGAUGAAAGAAGACAAUCUGCAGAAGGUUGGACUUUUCAUCUGUAACACAGAAGAACAAGAUACCUCAGAGGAAUGUUGAUUAUCCAGAUGAGAAUCUUCUUGGCCAACAAUAGAAGAGAUUGACUUUCACUUUCAGGCUGAUAAGGCUUAGUCCUGCUAUUGUGAACUUGAGAUACUUUUUCCCUCCCAGAUAAUAAGUCCCAUUUAGAUGUUCAAAGUCAUCCUCAUCAAAAGCGAAAGGGUCCUGGCUGUCCUCCAUAGGUUCGAACUUGGUGGCGUUGAGACCUUGUGAUCAUUACCUCUACCAAAACUCACUCCAAAACCUUUCGAUAUAGUCCCAUUAGUAAAAUCUCCAGAUGUUCCACUACAUUGCCCAGACAUGGAAGAAUCAAUCCUCAUUUUCAACCAAGGGUCGUAUCAGACAUGGUUGAAGCUCCUGAAUGGGAUUUCGAAGACGAGGUGACAAGAAAAUGAUUGACUGUUGUGUGAUAUACUGAGGCUUUUCAAAGAUGAGGUCCCUUCCAUAGUACGCCUUCUAGAACAACUGAUACACUCCUGUUGUCCUCCACUGCAUAUACAAAUGCUGAAAAUGGUUAAAAAGCCAAAGUAAACUCAAUUCACGUUUUCCAGAUUGAUAUUAUCCACUAGUUUGCAGUUUUAAGCAUAUUAUGCAAAAAUCAGAGACCACCAACAAUCAAUAAAUCUUCAUCAGUUUAUCACAAUAAAAUGUAACUCAUGACAUGGAUACCAUGAACCUUUUCCUCAUAUGAAAAUCAGUAUAUGUUUACUUGCGAUCCUACAAGUACGGAGCACCUAAAUGUCGGACUUGGGAACACUUAAAAGUACAUAUGAAGUGCUACCAUCAAAUUGACCAUCAUGUUUAUUUUAUGAUCUCAUGUGGUAAUAUUAACAAAGGCUACCUUUGAACUCAGAAGCAUGACUAGUUUCAUUUGAAUGGUUGCAAGUCUUUCCUUCCUCAGAGCCCAACGAACUUCUAAGCAAAGCAAUACCUACACAUGGAGAAAAUUAGUGAGAACAAGUAAAUAUGAAAUCAACAGUGUUAGGCUUAAUACUAGAAUAGAAGCGCACAAAAUGAUAACGAAGUUGUUCAAUGGUCAGAUCACUCAGCAUACAUACCUGAGAGAAUUUUAACAACACCAAGGAUGAGCUUUGUGAAAGACCGAGGGGCACUCUGGCUGUCAAAGUUCCCUUUCAUUCCAAGCAAAUGGCUCUGCAAUGGAAAACACCAGCAUACUGACCAUUGAUAACUCAAACAAGUUCAUUCUAAGAAUCAUUUUGUGUGUCACAAGAACAAAGGAUAAGAUGCAAAUAUUGAUUUUCAGCAUGCAAUGACACAGAAAAUUCCAUCUUUCUUAUACCUGAUUAUCCUUGCUGAGAAAUGUGGCAUUUUCCAUGAUUUUCAAACAUUUUAAAAGCAUCACCAGACUCUCAAGACCUUCCUUAUCUUUUGAGUCCAACACUGAAGAUGAUUCCUCUGUAACCAACCCUGAAAAGAAAGGGAUGUAUCUUUAGAUAACAAUAUGACUAGAUCUUAAAGUAAAAACUAAAUAUAGCAAAAAGGAUGUCAACCAGUCAGAAAUGAACAUGAACACUGACAAUACUUCCUAACAACCACGUGCAGCAGCUGCGGCAACAGACCUUAUCCUGUUGCAGAAUCAUCUACUGUUCACAUCACCUAUAAUAAAAGCUAUUCCUGGUCUCUCACAUACACUGCAAAGGAGUGCACCAUAAACCCAAGGCUAACUGAAUUCCAAGGGAGAGACACUAGCACAGUGAUGUGGGAGCAGCAGGUUCAAGAAAGUUCAGGGAAAAAAGAAAAAAAGAUUCCUUUUAAGUUCCUUAUACAAACUCCACAGCUUCCUUGGUUUUUUAUCAUUUGGAGACUCCACCAUAAAUCGGCAGUAAAAUUUUUAAGUGACUUUUACUUCCAUAAUGGAAUUUCAGAGUGCCUCUAGAAAGUUAAAACACAAUUAUAUCGAUCUUGUCAACCAAAAUUUGGUGUGAUUACUAGAUCAAAACAAUGACACCGAUGACAAUUAGUAGUAUCAUACACCAGAGGGAUGAAGUGUAUAAUCGAGUACUAAAAAGUGAGCUAUAGAAUUUUACAUCAAAUGCAGACGAAUAAAUUAUCAUCACUAAAACACUCGGCAAACAAGAGCCUUAUCAUCUCUCCAAACAAAUUCUCUAAAUGAGGCCAACUUCAUUCCACAUUACAAGCAACAUAAACAAAACAACUAUCAUACAGGUUCACACCUCCAUUACACUAUGGCAAUUCCUUGCAACUUCAAAGACCGCAUUAAGUCCUCCAAGCUCUCGUAAUUUUUCCUUGAAAUUCCCCCAGUUCUCCGCACUCUGCCUGAAGCAUCUGAAUAUCAAGGAAAAAUAAUUAGUCUUCUAAAGCAAUCAACAAUUAUGACAACCCAACUAAAUUUACAAUCUUCUUGGAAACAGCUACUGCAAACAUGUUUCUAUCUUCUGUAAGAUAGGAAUGCUAAUUAUAAAACUAUUCAAUGGUGUGAUUAGAAUGAAAAAAGGAAAGAAAGGCUACCGCCUCUGUUAUGGAAUAACCUUAAGUAUAUUCGAUGGGCUGUAAGUUUCUAGAAAUUAGACAGGCUGUAAACUUUUCUAGACAGGGAUAUAUUCAAUUAACAGAGGAAGAGGUGCUAAAGGGAGAACUCAAAUCAGUAUCCUUCAAGGUAACAGUUAUAUCCCAAACUAAUUAUCUGGCUAUCUCAUGUUAACAUGCAAUAGGGAGAAACCCAAACUCGGUACUCAUAAAGGUAUCAUCUCUAUCCCUAACUAAUUUAUCUGGUUAUCUCAUGUUAAAUAAGUAAACUAUUAUCCAGUUGAAAACUAACGUUCUGCAGGAAGAGUGUGCUGAUAUUACUAAGUUGAUCAAAACUAUUAACUAAUCAACUAGUAGCAUCCUUUUAACAUAUCCUAUUAAGAAGCAGAUGGUGUUGAUGGAACCUUCUAGAGAAAUGGUAGAAAAACAAGCUUUUUCCAUUGUAAGCAGACUUAUCCAUUUAGGAUUCAACUCAGGCAACUCAAUGCAGUCAUCAUUUGCAUCUCUAGGAUUCAAAUCCUUGCUACUGACAAGAAUCUCCUGAACCUUCUGCAUAAUUGCAGCAGAAGAUUCAGAACCUUUAGCUGAAAUUUGCGAGACGUCAGGGUCCAUGCGAAUCGCCAGAAGCUUGCUACCAAAACUCGGAGCUUUGACAUUAGCAGCAUCAAUGUAAGUGGCCUCAAGAACUUCAACAAAAACCUAAUGCAUAUAGGCGAAUCUAGAAGACGGUCAUCUUGACCCUGAAAUAGAAAGAAGAAAGUUCAAACCUAGCAACAGGGGAAGAAAAGUAGUAUGUUAAUAUUAAUAUUUAACCAAUUCUUUGCAAAAAGUCAACAAAACUAUAAAGGUUAUGGCAAACUUGCUUUAAAGUCAAUUUCUGAAAGCGGCAGAAAAAACUAAUACAUCUUCUAGACAGAUAUCCAAGGACCAAGUGGUAAUUCUCCACAGGUAAUCCAAAAUUUCCAGUCUUUUUCAUACUGGUGUAAUUUGUCUGAAUGAUCAUGAUGCUCUAUUUGCAUAAGCCGGAAAUAUACUGGUCUAAUUGGACAUGACCAUAUCCAUAAUAACUGGUCUUGAUCACAACAAUGUUCAACAAUAAUAAUGAUGAUCACAAUAAUCCAAUAAGGCCCUCUUAACUAGAAAAAUACAAUGCACUAGAACACAUAUGAACAUGUUCGACACAAGUAAGAAACGCUUUGGCCUAAUUACAUCUCUCCUGCAAUUUAAGGAUAAUGUAGUAUACUAUCAUAACUGACGGGAAGUUCUAUUGUAAUCCAAACUACUUAAGAAGUGCAGGUUAAAGAUUGCAGUGAGCCAGGGUAGCAUCACAAGGUUUUAGCCCAAUCAUUAAAUCAGGAAGAAUCAACAAAAGCUCAAUCUUUAAAUCAGGCAAGAAUCAGCAAAAGUCCAAUAUUCAUAUUGAAUCAGGCAGAUCUUUUACAAAUAACAAUUUACUAACCAAAUACAUAAAGACAAAGGAUUCAAUCACAUGUUUACAGUUACAGAACCUUACAUCACUUGUUAAAAUGUAAAAGAGAGCUGCAGCAGCAAGAUUGCUUGGUGGGUCAUCAAAGCUGAUCCCCAAAACAGCAUCGAUAAUUGUUUUAGCCAGCCUGAGACCAUACUUAGCAAGUUAGUUUGUGAAAUGAUAAAGAGAGGUUGGAUGAAAGUCUAAUAUGAAUAUCAUAAAAGGGUUUUCCAUUAAUAAAUGUUGAAAUUAUUAAUUUCCAUGGCUUUGCGUACAUUACCAUUCCAGCCUGUCAUCUUAAUAUCACAUACAUUCUUUUCUUCAAUAAGUCACCAAAUAAAGGUUAAACAAUGAUUGUCAAAAUAUUUAGUAUAUUGCACCUUUUCAUCAACACUAUUAGCUUUUUGUAAGCAAGAGCAAAUAGCAUAUUCUACUCAUGGUCUUCUUCUUAAGAAUUAACACAAUUGUAAAAUUGCUGGACUUUAAUAGUAAGCUGUGAUGGAAACUUCAGCAUAAGCAGCGAAGAAAGCUCAUUGUACAUUAUUGUAGACAGGAUUGUCUAAUGCAUUCACACAACUAUGCAAAUAAACUGUAGAACCUAUUAUUGCUGAUCCAAUAAAAAUAACCCUCAUCUUUUAAAUAAUGAACCCCCAACCACAAAUCCGCUUUUCCAACUACUGAAGAAAUACUUUCUUCCAAUUUAAGCUUUCACCAGCAAUUUCAGUCACAAUGCUUUAUAACUUACUUAGAAAAUUAAUAAGCCUAUAGUCUGAGAUACCAACAUCCAAUUCAGAUACUAAAAUGAGCUUCUGUAAUUUUUCUUUUCAUCUUAUCAUGGUCUUCUGAAUUUUGCUUCAUGAAGAUAUGCCAUAAUCUAUUAUAAAAAUCUUGUGAAUAAUAGUCACUGUGAAAACAGGAAAGUAGUUCAUAUUCGAUUUUUCAUUAAAUGGACUAUCAUACGUUAUCAAGCCUGAAAUAUUUCUCCAACUACAAGAACAAUGAAAAGAUAAGAAAUCAAGAGAACCAAAACUGUGGGAACAGAACUUUAUGCCCUAGAACCACAAAAUCAUCAUAAUUAAUGUAUCAGAAUAAAGGUUCAUCACUGGUUACUUCUUUCGGUGCUUCCAGGUCAGAAAAUUACAAGACCUAGCAAUCUCAAUAAGCUUUUACAGGUAUCAUAAAUCUUAUCCUUAAGUUAUUUAGAUCAAACCAUGAUAAUAGAUAAGUAGCAACACAGAGAAUCAAUAUUUGCUAUACAACUUCAGUCAUCCAUAAGCAGAAGUCCAGAAGACUUGGAACAUCACAAUUAGCCCAAGAACAUUUCCUUCAACUACUAAAUACUGUUCAGAAGUUACUUAAGAGAUUGAAUUUGGCUCCUAUUAGAAAAGGCUGUAGCCAUAACUUGAACAGCCCUCCAAAAAUCAUAUGAUGCCUAGAAAAUGUUAAAAACCAGAAUAUAGAUUACCACCUGCAAUAAUUUCGUAACUAUAAUGCGUUAUAUUAUUAAUUAAUGAUUUGAUUUAUCUCUUUCUACACAUGAAUACACCAGGCAUGUCCACUCAAUACAGCAAUAUCUGUAACACCUUCCUACGGAUAUCCAAAUGAUUUAAAAGGUCGAGCAUAGCAAAACACACUAUAUCAAAUUAAAAUUCAAACCAAGAAGAAAGAGACUGAAUUUAGAUAAAAGUUAAAAUACCCAUGAGCCCUCAAUAGCCUUCUCUGCUGAGAACUUCCACAUAUUGACAGCAAAGAAAGAAGACUCCCUCUUCGGACCCUCACGGGCUGCCCCUUCUUCAAUCCAUCCAAUGCAAAAUUCACCUCGUCCACAUGCUCCAUCAUCUCUCCAAACUCCUGAGUCUCCAUCAACGUUGCCGUAGAGCCAACCGUAACAGAAUCUGAGCCCACCUCCCUAUUUUUCCCCUUCUUCCUAUUCUUCUUUUUCUGCAUAACCCCAUUUUCCUUCACUUUCUUGGGUUUUUGAAGAAGCCCGUCAAAUUUACCAUUCUCCUUGCCCUUUUUCACAGGCAAAAUUACCAAUUCAUCAGAUUCUUGAGACGAAUUCAAGCUAUAAGGUUCCAAAUCCAUUGAUUUUCCAAAACCAAAUCACAAAUCAAACAAAGUCCCCAUCAUUCCUCCCAUUCUUGGAGGACAAAAUCGUCAAUUCAUCCGACUCUGGCGACGAAUUCAAUUUAUAGGUCUCCGAAUCCCCGAUCUUCACCUUCUUGGUCCGGAAAGCCCCAUCAUCAAACCCUUCAUAUUCGGCAUUUCCCUACUACCACCACCCCUCGCCGGCAGAAUCCUCAACUCAUCAUCAUCCUGAAAAUCAUUCCCCUGCGCCGACGACGUAAUAUUAUUCAAACCAUACGGGUCCAACGAAUCACUGAACCCAUACGGGUCGGAAGACCAGCGGGUCGAACCUUGGGAAGAAAACGUGAAAUCGAAAACAUCUGGAGGGCUUUCUUGGGAAAACGACUUAUCGGAGACGCCACCGUUAAAGUUCCUCGUCGCCAUGCUUCUGCUCCGACGGCCGUAGGUCCUAACAAUCAUUUCUUGACCAAGAUCGAUACUUUGUCAUCAUAGGAGAAAUUUUGAAAAUUUUGAAAUUAGGGUUUUUGAGACGAGCUGAAAAAAAAAUCAAGGGUUCUUGAUUUUCUUGAAGAUCAGGAACUGAAAUUCUAGCGAGACAAAAGUGAAAGGAGGGUUUAAUGUAAUGGCAUGUAACAGUAAAAACCGAUUGGAGAAUAUUAAAUAUAUAGACGUUAAUUUUUUUCGGGUAAAAUGAGGAAUGCGAUUUUGAGGAUGAGUUGGUGGUGAGAUCUGAGCCGUUGGAUUUUCAAGGAAAGACGUUGAGAUUUUCGUUUUUUGUUUUUUAAAAAUUGAGGGUAGUUUGGGUAGUCGGAAAUGGAAGUUGGCAGCGUGGCAACGGCGUGACCGUUGUUCAAGAUAGAUCAGAGCUCGGCUACUGUGCUUUCCGUUCUUACUUUCUUUGCUGUUUGCUUUUGAGCAAAUUAAUUCCCUUUUAUUUACGAGCAUUCUAAGUUUAUUUAAAAACUAGAGUAAUACACAAUUUAAACAUUAUCAAUAAAUUUUAGCCCUAGAGUUGAUUUUAUGGUGCGAAUAAGCACCAACUAUGUGAAUUAUCAGGAAAAUUUCUAUAUACGAUGCACCUUUUUUAAAUGAUUUAUAUGGAUUCAGUAUUUGAGAAAAUAUUUUUCAAAUACAACACUCUCGUAAUUUCAAUAUAUUAUUUAUUCACUCUCGUAUAGAUGUUUUUCUUUAAUAAAUCAGUUAGUUGUAGCUAUUGUUAGGGAAAUAAAAUAAAAUAAAGGUUUUACGUAAAAGUAGAUUGAGUAUUUGUUAAAAUGAUUCCACUAAUUCUGCCUAUUUUAUGGAAAAUGAGUUACCAUUUUAAAAAUUUUAUGGAAAAGAUUUAAACCAAUUAACUCUCAUUCUGAAGUUCAAUUUUGAAUAUUAGACCAAGAUUUCAAUGGCAUACUUCUUCUUCAUAGUUUAACCUGCCAAGAUAGAGAGAGGAGAGAUGGUAAUAAUAUGUAGCCAUGUUGACAAAGGGGGUGAAAAUUACCUAAAAUCGGGUUCACAAUUCUAGAGGUAGUGUGAAGAUGAAGUGACACAUAAGAUUUUGGAUAAGAAUGGAAGGUGUUUUAGGUGUAAAGAACUGUUCUGGUAGCUGCAGCACUGUGUAUUUGCUCGCAUGCAUUUUUCGUACUUCGCACAGCAAAUUAGCUUAAGGGGAAUGAGAGGGGCCGGCUGGGUUGGUGAGGAUUUGGUGCUGUGGAUACUGUGGACCGUUUUCACUUUUUGGCAUGUGACUUGAUCAGAAAAUUACCAAUCACGACUGAUUUUUGUUGUAAACCUUUCACCUUUUCGGUGAGAUUCUGUUUGAAUUAGCUAUUUUUUAGAAUAUUUUUAAAAUAUUUUACUAUAAUAAUAUGUAUAUAAAAAAAUUUUAUUGUAAUAUAUUUUUUGAGAGAUUUUUUAAAUAUAUUUUGAGAUAACUUUUAAAAUUACAAUAUUUUUAUGGUACUUUUUAAAAAGUAAUACUACCACGUACAAUCACCACUAUCACCUACCACCCCUUUAGCUUCCUCCUCCCUCUCCUUCCCUCUUCCCUUCCCCUUCCCCUUCUCUCUUCCUUUCCCCCCACCUCUCGGCCCCCUCCUUCCCCCUCGAUCUAGUCUCAACAAGAUCGAGGCCUCUAGUCAUAACCAGAAUGUCACAAUUUUCUAGUCCCAAUCUGGAGACUAGAGGCUUCGACCUAGGAGUGAGGGGAAGGGAUGAGGAAGAGAAGGAGGAUGAUGAUGAUGGGUUGAUGGCGGUGGUGAGUGGUGGUGAUAGGUGAAAGAUAUUGUAAAUUUUAUUUUUUAAUUUUUUGUAUAUAUUUGUGAGUUAUUUUUUAUAUAUUGUAUGAAUUAUAUUUUUUUGUAUAGUUUUUUAUUUGCGUAUUGGUGUAGCAUUAUAUUUGAAAAUUUAAUUUUUUGAAAAACAUGUCAAUCCAAAUGGAGAACUCUUCAUUCUUUUGUGUUUUUCAUUCUGUUUGUGCAAAGUGAUUGUAGCUUGUUCUUGAGCAAUUUGUGAUAUACAUUUAAAUGUAUUAGAUUUAAUAUUUAAUAAUUUAAAAUUUUAAUAAAUUCAAAUUUUUUAGAUUUCAAUUUAAUCAAACGCAAAUUUGAGCAACUUGUGGUGCAUUUAAUAAAAUUGAAAUAUAAAAUCUCAAUCCAUUACGUUAUUAAAUAGUUAAGUACUAAACUUGAUACAUUUUGGUAUAUAUCAUAUUAAGUGAUAAGUGAAUAGUUUAUCAUUUAUUUUUUGAACCAAGUUUUAUCUAAAAAAUUCAAUGCCACUUAAUUAAUUUAAACAUUCUAUUUUUUGUUACUAAACGCAAUUGAACAUAUUAAGAUCUGAACCUAUUAACUUUAAGUGUUAAAUUGAGUUAUCAAAUAGGAUACCUAAAUAAUAUGUAUUAAGGUAUGAAAAUCUCGAACUUAUGAUAAGUUAAUAUUGGAUUCUAUGAAAAGCUUGAUGCUGACAAUAGAUUGAUCAAAUUUAUGAAAACAAUAUGCACUUAUAUAAUAUGACACUUUUCUAUUUCAAUGUAUGCUAUCAUUUUUUUUUUAGUUCAACGGAGAGACUCUAAGCAUUAAAAGAGAAAAAUCAAAGAGCUUGAAAGUUACAUGAUCCUACCUAGCAAGCAGCCAAGAAUAUAACAAAGAGUAGCAGGGUUUUGCCAAAUGUCCUGUGAUUUCUUUUUCAAUAUGACUUUGGAAGACGACCGAAAAUCACAGGUUUCCCAUGAUCCACAACUAAAGGAUUAAAUUAAUCAAUCAGAUUGAAUCCUCCAUUAAGAAAAAUGAGUGAAGAAGAAGGGAAACAACCUAUACUCCUCUCCUUUAGUACUCACUAAGGCUUGGUUAGGGAAUUGAGGGUUUGACCAGAAAAAAGGGAAAGAAACGAAAGUUUAGGUUGUGUUUGGAUUGCAUUUUCUAGGAUUUUUUGUAGAAAAAUUAGUGUAGCGAUUUGAUGUAUAUGAGAAAAAAAACGUAAUAUGGAAAUGUGAUAACGGAAAACAACGCAAUUUUCUGGUGAAAAAUAGCGGUCCAAACAAGGCUUAAUUUUCAUUUGUUUGUUAGUUUGAUAUAAAAAAGAAAGAAAAUGGAAGGAUUUAUUAGGAUGAACAGGAGUCAAAACAUUUCCAUCCAAAUUGGACGAAAAUGAAAAGAAACUUCGAGGAAGCUUGUCAAAAAUUUAAAAAAAUAUCUAUUUUGUCCUUAAAAAGGUUUGAACAAAAAUAUUAAUAACUUUUAUAUUCAAAAUCACUCCACUAAUUAUUAAAACUUUCAAAUAAUAUAACAAUCCCUUCUCUUUUUUACUUUUCUCUCUCGUAACUUAAGUUUUCCCCUUUUUUUUUUCCCCCUAUCCUAAACUCCCAAACUAAGCCAGAGAGUAAAAUAGUAUGAUGGUUGCGUGGUUCUUAAAGCAGAGAGCGCUUAAGUUAUAAUUUUUUUUUUGGAAUUCAAGAAAUAUGAAUUAUGGUGCUUGCCACUGCGAGCAGAAUUGUCAAGAGACAAAAGGCUGAAAAAGACAAAUCAGGUGGAACGGUAAAGAGGUCAUAGUGGAAGAGAGACCUUGGUCAAAUAAUAACUUCUAGACAAAGGGCUAAUAAUAUGGAACUAAAAUUGGAACUUUUGGCCCGUAGGACCAAAGAAAAAGGUAUAGUUGCCCUCUACUGUGCUGGCAAACCGAGUCACUUGCAACUGGUCCUGUCAAACGCUAAAUUCGAUUUCGUGCUUGAGUUACUUGUUUCAGGUUUCAAAUUACUCAGUGCUUGAUGAAUCAAGGCAAAUAGUUCUAUUAUUUAUAUAAUAUAUUUAUUUUAGUUAUGAAAUUACAUUAUGGAUUUAUGUUUUAGCAAAUUUAUUGAAAAGUUUUGUACACUUUAGAAUAUGGCAAAAAAGCAAUAAAAUAAUUAUGAAAAUACUAAAAAGAGAAAACCGUAACAAAAAGAGCUCAAAAUUCAAGAAGAAAAAAAAAAAAAAAAAAAGAAGAAGCUACUCGUCUCUCUCAUGCUCUGUCGCCACUUACCCGUCUCUACUAUCUCUAAUCGUCUCUGAAUCUUUGGCCGCCAUUGCUGUCUCCAUCCUCUUCAUUGUCGCUGGCUCUACUUUCUAAUCUCCCAGUCUUCAUUUUGCUCCCCGUCAUUCGAGUCUCUCACUCUCCUUACGCCAAUGCUGUCUCUGGCUUUUAGCCACUCUUUGGCCCAUGAAAACCACCAAAGCUUUGCUUCUUCUGCCUCUCAAACCUUCAAUGGUUAGCUUCAAUUAAGUCAAUAGCACGAGCAAAGGGUAGGUCACUUCACGAACUCAGAUUGGAGAAGAAACCAACCAUUGGAGGCUUGGAGCUCAUUUAAGGUAAGUAAAUCACCGUAAUUUUUCCAUUAUCGCUUCUGUUUAUUGAAAUAGUUUUUUUUUUUCUUUCUGGAAUGCCUGGACUAAGCAUGAAAGCUUGAGUUUUUAUUCGAGUACUCGAAGUUGACGAGGUUCAAGAAUUGUAUCAAACUUUAUCGAAUCGAGCUCGAACUCAUGUGUUAUCUCUACAAGUCGAGUCCAGCUACAAGUUAUUUUACUCGAUCAAGUCGAAUUUGAACUCAAAUAUAUUAAAAAUUUAUCGAAUUCGAGUUGGAGUAUAGCGUUACUCGAGUAUGACUCGACUCGUCAGCACCUCUAUCUCUAAUUAAAGAACCUCUGCCUCUAAUUAAAGAAUAAGGAAAGAAGAGCAAGUUUGUUAUGAAUUUUAGUCGAUGGGAUUAGCACUACCACAUGUAGAGAUCUGAUAGGCAGGAGUAAUACAAACAAACCAACUGUCAAUUUUGCGAUGCAGAUGGGUAAAUUUAUUGAGAUCCAUGGUAUUAGAGAAAGAAGAGCUCUAUCGCGUAUUCAGCAUUCAUCAAUUUUUGACUUAUAUAAUUUUUUUAAAAAAUUCUUGUCAGGAUGUCCAUUCUUAAACUCACAAGUUAGUAAAAAUCUAAAAUUUUGAAUUGUACAUUUCAUAUUUUGUUCUCUUGAUUUUAUAACUACUCUCAGGACUCACUCAAGUGCUAUUUGAUGGAUAAUAUGUUAAGUUAGUAAAAUACAACCUAUAAUUAAAUUGUCAUAUCUACAGCCUAAAGAUUAUUUUUAGGGAUAAUUUCAAAAAACUCUCGAGAUUUGGCUUAAUAUAAACCUAUCAUCCCUCUAAUUUUAGAAGUCUUUCUUACUUCUUCUAUCACUUUGAUGGGACAAGAUGAACCCAUAGAAAAUGGUGAAUUUACAAUAUUAACCCUGUUCAACAGCUCUAACUAACCGACCAAAAACAAGCCAACCCAAAAAAACUGAGAAGGAAAAACUUGGGCUCCGUUUGGAUUAGCUGUUUUUGGGUUUGUUUUCAAAAACACCACUGUAGCAUUUUGAAUUUGAAAAACAAGUCCGUUUGAAUUAGUUGUUUUUUGGGUUGUUUUUCAAAAACUAUAUAAAAAGCUUUUACUGUAGAUUUUUUUGGAUUAUUUUUAGAGGUAUUUUUGAAACAUAUUUUUGAGUAUUUUUAGAAUAUUAUAAUUUUUAUAUUUUUAUAUAAAUAUACAUUUAUGCAUUUAUAAUACAUUUAUAUUUACAAAUGUAUAAAUGUAUAUUAUUAUAAAUGUAUAAAUUAUAAUGAAUAUUAUAUAAAUGUAUAAAUUAUAAAUUUUAUAUUUUUAUAUAAAUAUACAUUUAUGCAUUUAUAAUACAUUUAUAGAUAUUUAAAAUAAAUAUAUUUAUAUAUUCAUAUAAAAAUAUAUAAAUGUAUUAUAUUAUAUAUAAUACAUAAUAUAAAUAUAUUUAUAAAUGUAUAAGUGUAUAUUAUUAUAAGUGUAUAAAUUAUAAAUGAAUAUUAUAAAUGUAUAAAUUAAUAUAUUAUAAAUAUAUAUUAAUAUUAUGUAGAAAUGUAUUUAUAUAAUUAAUAUAAAUGUAUAUAUGUAUUAAUAUUAUGUAUAAAUGUAAAAUUAAUAUUAUGUAUAUUAAUAUAAAUGUAUAAAUGUAUUAUAUUAUAUAUAAUACAUAAUAUAAAUGUAUAUUUAAAUGUAUAAGUGUAUAUUAUUAAAAAUGUAUAAAUUAUAAAUGAAUAUUAUAUAAAUGUAUAAAUUAAUAUAUUAUAAAUAUAUAUUAAUAUUCUGUAGAAAUGUAUUAAUAUAAUUAAUAUAAAUGUAUACAUGUAUUAAUAUUAUGUAUAAAUGUAAAAUUAAUAUUAUGUAUAUUAAUAUAAGUGUAUAAAUGUAUUAUAUUAUAUAUUAUACAUAAUAUAAAUGUAUAUUAUAAAUAUACAUAAAUAUUUAUAUAUUAUAUAUAAAUGUACAUUUAUAUAAAUGCAUAAUAAUAUUAUAUAUAUAUUAUAUAUAAUUUAUAUAACAUAUAAUAUUUAUGUAAAUAUAUUAUAAAUAUAUAAAAACAUAUUAUAAAUAAAAUAAAAUAUUUAAAUAUGUAUGUAUAAAUAUAUAAUAUUAGAAAUGUAUAAUAUAUAUAAUAUACAUUAAUAUUAAUAUAAUUUAUGUAUAAUAUACAUAAUUGAAAUAUACAUAUUCAUAUAUAUUAAUAUAUAUUAUAAAACAAAAUUGAAUAAAUAUAUUUAUAAAUUUAUAUAUAAAUAAAUGUAUUUAUAUAAAUAUAUAAUAUUUAUUUCAAUUGAUAUAAUAUGUAUAAUAUUAUACAUAAUUGAAAUAAAUAUAUUUAUAUUAAUAUAAAUAUAUAUAUACAUAAUUGAAAUAUAUAUUAAAAUAUAUUAAAAUAUAAUUGAAAUAUACAUAUUAAAAUACAUAAUUAAAAUAUACAAAUUGAAAUAUACUUAUUAAAUAUACAAAUUAAAUAUACAUAAUUGAAAUAUAUUUGGAGUUGUUUUUAUAUAUUGUUUGGAUAUGGUGUUUUUGAAAUACACAUUUACUGUAGCAUUUGAAAUAUGAAAAACAGUUUUUCAAAAACAGGUGCAAAAACACUCAAUCCAAACGGACCCUUGGCAUUUUGGGCAUGACCAGCUGCCCUAUGUUUAACAGUUUAACUACAAUCCGCAUCAUGUAUUUUUGACUAUAAGCAAGUGACUAAUUAAGUAGUUAGAGCAAUGGUUAAGUUAUCUCUAGACACCGACUAAUUAAGCAGGAUGAAAUUAAACGUGGAAAGUAACACAAAUGCUUAUGUCUAAAUGGGAAGGUACCACAUCAAAGCAAUGCCAUUGUGUUCUUUUUUCUUUUUGUCUUUUUUUUUUAAAAAAAAUUGAAAAUAUAGCAUUCUACAUUUCUAUUCAAGAAAGAAGAAUUAAUUAGAUUGAUUGAAGUCAUCUUAAGGUACAGAUGCAAGCCACAAUGGCAAUUUUCUUGUAAAUAAAAAAGGGAAAUGUUUAGGCAAUUUAGUCCCAACAUAAUAGUUAGGCAGUUUAUUUAUGUUACAAUUCUAGACGAGUAAGGAAAUUGUCAACAUUGACAGUUUUUGUUCGGGAGACAAAAAGCUAUCAAUAAAAUAAACUCAAUUAGAAAAAUGUAAUUAACCCUAAUUAGAAGGGAUUGGUUGCGUUUAAUUCGUGAAGCCGAUGGGAAGGGGGGUCGGUAUGGUGUGUCCAAUUCCAAAUCCAACCGCUACUCCAUGCAGUUGCCAACCAUCAAUUGACAAGUGUCCAACAAUCUCCCUAAAGCCUUCUGACUUUUUUCUUUUUUUUUCUUUUGAGCGAGCAUUUUUUACCAUUCCACUUAAGUAUGUUUGGAUAGCAAAUUAUUUGGAUAAUUUAAAAUAAUAGCAUGAUAAUUUUUUGAUGUGAUGUAUAUGACAUAAAAAAGUGAUUGAAAAAUGUGUUGAUAAUGCAAACAAAUAAAAUUUUGUAAAAUAAUCCAACAUCCAAACAAGUGUAAUUACGAUAUCAACCCCCUUCAUCAAGGAAGGGUUGGAUUGGAAAAUGAGGUAAGAGUGAUUGUAAGUAAAAAAGUUUUGAAUUUAAAACCUCUCACUUUAAAAAAAAAAAAAAAAAACUCCAACGAAAAGUGAAAUAAAUGCAUAGAUAGAAAUUGUGGAAAGGUGUUUCUAAUUCCUAACAUCGUCUUGCUACAAGAUAUGUUUUACAAUCAAGGUGAAGUUCUCUCUCUCUCUCCUCCAAGGGUUUAUAUGCCCUUUUUCAAGUUGAGUAUGGUAAUAGUUUUUAGCAACUUUGUUAAAUUUUAGUGUCAUGCUCAUUGAUAUGAACUAAAUUAAUUACUCGAGUAUCUUAGCACAUUCAAAAAAAAAAAAAA
rnacentral:lncRNA from 1 species